UCCCUCAGCACACAGCAAAAGUGGUUGGAAGUAAGUUAACAGCACCGUCUGGAUUCAAGCAUGCUAUGAUUCCACCUUUCACUGUGUAUGCUGAGCUGGAAGCUGCCAAAGGUACAGGAUGCCCUCCAAGGAGAGGUAACCUGGCCUCAAAGAAGCCAGAGGCUAUCUGCUGCAAAUGCCUGACCUUUGACAGACAGGCCCUGACAUCAGGCCCUGGAGUGCUGGAGCACUAGCCUGCACAGCAGGCCCAGAGA